UCUCCUCAUUUAUCGAGAGGUCAGUCGAAUGAUUAAAAGAGAAUUUGGUGCAAAGCCAAAACUAUCCCCGUAGCCGUAUGGUCGUACCUGUCGCUACAGAACGAUGCCACUGCAUAUCGAUGUGGGAAGGCGUAGCGAUUUAGGCCGAGUCGGAAGACCUGCCGCACAUAUCUAAAAGAU
rnacentral:ncRNA from 2 species